rnacentral:rRNA from 1 species
UACGUAGGUGACAAGCGUUGUCCGGAUUUACUGGGCGUAAAGAGCGCGCAGGCGGUCGAUCAAGUCGAGUGUGAAAGCCCCCGGCUCAACUGGGGAGGGUCAUUCGAUACUGAUCGACUCGAAGGCAGGAGAGGGUAGUGGAAUUCCCGGUGUAGUGGUGAAAUGCGUAGAUAUCGAGAGGAACACCAGUGGCGAAGGCGAGUCCCUGGACAACUCCUGACACUGAGGCACGAAAGCUAGGGGAGCAAACAGG